rnacentral:rRNA from 1 species
UGAACGCUGGCGGAAUGCUUUACACAUGCAAGUCGAGCGGCAGCGCGGGGGCAACCCUGGCGGCGAGCGGCGAACGGGUGAGUAAUACAUCGGAACGUGUCCUGGAGUGGGGGAUAGCUCGGCGAAAGCCGGAUUAAUACCGCAUAAGCUCUGAGGAGGAAAGCGGGGGAUUCGCAAGGACCUCGCGCUGUUGGAGCGGCCGAUGUCGGAUUAGCUAGUUGGUGGGGUAAAGGCCCACCAAGGCGACGAUCCGUAGCUGGUCUGAGAGGAUGAUCAGCCACACUGGAACUGAGACACGGUCCAGACUCCUACGGGAGGCAGCAGUGGGGAAUUUUGGACAAUGGGGGCAACCCUGAUCCAGCCAUUCCGCGUGAGUGAAGAAGGCCUUCGGGUUGUAAAGCUCUUUCGGACGGAACGAAAUGGUUACGGCUAACACCUGUGACUGAUGACGGUACCGUAAGAAGAAGCACCGGCUAACUACGUGCCAGCAGCCGCGGUAAUACGUAGGGUGCGAGCGUUAAUCGGAAUUACUGGGCGUAAAGCGUGCGCAGGCGGUGAUGUAAGACAGAUGUGAAAUCCCCGGGCUCAACCUGGGACCUGCAUUUGUGACUGCAUCGCUAGAGUACGGUAGAGGGGGAUGGAAUUCCGCGUGUAGCAGUGAAAUGCGUAGAUAUGCGGAGGAACACCGAUGGCGAAGGCAAUCCCCUGGACCUGUACUGACGCUCAUGCACGAAAGCGUGGGGAGCAAA